CUGCAGUCAGCCUGGGCGACAGAGCGAGACUCUUGUCUCAAAAAAAAAAAAAAAAAAAAAAAAAAGGGACUGGAGAGAGAAAAAUUAUGCUUCAAAAAACUAUAGUACAUCUGUUGUUAGUUGUUCUUCAGUUUUUUUCUGCAGUUUGGACUAAAUCUUAAAUUCUUUGUGGGCUGCAAGUCCCCAAACUAGAGCUUUCAAAUCUUUGCUUUUAAAACUGGAAAUCACACUCCUUAUCUUAGUACUCAUUAUUUACCUUAUAAUGUGCUGUUCCCUUAAAUGUGGUACUAAAAUUAUAGAUGGCAAUACUAAUGCCUUUGUCAUAGAAGCCUUAGAAUCCCAGCCAGGCCUGUGUGAGUAUGCUCAGACAGUUGCAAAGUGAUUUCACUCCUCUCACCUUGGGGUCAACACCUACCCCCACUACACCCCUGGUCAGCAGGAAGAAUUUAGAGGGGUCUUCGCCCUUUUCCCAUCUUCAUUAGCUAACACCUUAAGAUUAAGGUGUUAUAAAAUCCAAAGGGAGAGAUUGAAACCACCAUUGCAAAAUUGUAACUGAGACAGUGAAAAGAGAUCUGACCUAACCA
rnacentral:lncRNA from 10 species